rnacentral:lncRNA from 1 species
GUCUUGGUGGUGCUUGCCUGUAAUUGCAGCUACUUAGAAGGCUGAGACAGGCGAAUCGCUUGAACCCAGGAGGCAGAAGUUGCAGUGAGCCGAGAUCGUACCACUGCACUCCAGCCUGUACAACAGAGCAAGACUCCAUCUCAAAAUAAAUACACACACACACACACACACACACACACAUAAAUCCUUGACCAAAAUAAAUACACACACACACACACACACACACACACACACACACACACAAAUCCUUGACAUAAUGUGAUGAGAAGGGUGCUUCACCUCUGGAGUCUUCUUCCAAUACACUAUAGCCCCAAUCUAAUCAUGAGUAAAGCAUCACAUGAAUCCCCAUUGAGGGGAUAUUCUUAAAAAGUACUUGACUAGUAAACCUCAAACAUUUCAGAGUUAUCAAAAGCAAGGAAAGUUUGAGAAGCUUUCACAGCCAAGAAGAGCCUGAAGAGACAUGAUAAACAAAUAAAAUGGUGAAUCCUGGAUGCAGCCCUGGAAAAACAACAAAGCGACCUCAGGUUAUGUCUUCUUUUAUAAGACUACCCACUGCCUCUUCUCAAGUAUAUCUGAAGUAUGGCUGGUUGGAGUAUAUCAGGACCCUCAGAGGAGAAAAGCAUAUAAAACCAGCACACCUGAACCCAGGCUUUCCAGCAAGUGCUCUUGGUAAAACGAUCUUGACAAAGUUUUGGAGAGAAGAGUGAUGCUCCAACAUAAAACAGUCUGGAAUUAAGCAGCCGAGCUGUAUUCACAGUUGCUCUUCACAUUUGUCAGAAACGUGGAGCUGAUUAAAUAGAGGGUGACCUGCUUUCAGUUGGGAAGUUAUAACCAGUGGCCGAAUGAGAACAAUAUUUUCCCUAUAAAAAGAACAGAAGAGCCAAGGAUUCUUCAAAGAUUCCUGGGCACUGAGAAAACAACAAUCGAACUGCAUUUCACAUCACUCUGAAGGAAACAGAGAGGGAGAAUUCCUCAGCUGGAGUUCAAAUUGGCCUUUCUACAGUUCUUUCCGAAUGGCCCCAGGAUUCUUUUCUGACUUCAUGAGGACAACACUUCAGAUGAGAGAGCUCCUCUGUGUGCAUCCUCCAAGUUUAUCUGCUAAACCAAGAUAAACAUCCCCGGUUCCUCUUUUUAAGUUUUUAAGUGCUGGAGUACAUGUGCAGGAUGUGCAGGUUUGUUGCAUAGGUAAACAUGUGCCAUGGUGGUUUGUUGCACUCAUCAACCCAUCACCUAGGUAUUGAGCCCAGCAUGCAGUAGCUAUUUUUCCUGAUGCUCUCCCUCCCCCAGCCCUACUCCCCUGACAGGCCCCAGUGUGUGUUGUUCCCCUCCCUGUGUUCAUGUGUUCCCAUUGUUCAGCUACCACUUAUAAGUGAGAACAUGUGGUAUUCGGUUUUCUGUCCCUGCAUUCGUUUUCUGAGGAUAAUGGCUUCCAACUCCAUCCAUGUUCCUGCAAAGGACAUGAGCUUGUUCUUUUUUAUGGCUGCAUAGUAUUCCAUGGUGUAUAUAUACCACAUUUUCUUUAUCCAGUCUAUCCUGAUGGGCAUUUGGGUUGAUUCCCUGUCUUUGCUAUUGUGAAUAGCGCAACUUGCUUUAUUUCUUUUUUCAAAUUCACAUAAUUGUAAAUGGCAAGGCUGAAGUUCUCUUAACAUUGCUUCAGAGUUUUCUUAAUGAGGAUCCCCAAAUAUAAAACCUAAUGCUUAAAGAGCAGCUUGAUAGAAAAUACAGGACACAAGUUUUUUACAAAUGAAAUUUAAUUUAGGAUUUAAAGAUAAAUGCCUGACAAAUCUAGUCAGUUAGAUGUAGUAAGAUACAGAUAAUGUAACACAUAAUAAUAUAUAAAUAGGCCAAAUUACACAUAUGCGUGUGUGUGAAGAGUAUUUGUGUAUACAAGUGUGCAUAUAUACAGAGAGAGAGAGACAAUGGUCCUCUCCAUUUUUCCCGGAAGGUGCACCCAGUUUAAAAACAAAAGUUUUGGCAAAAUGUUAAGUGUCCUCACUAAUCUUCUUAAGAAAUCCUAAAGAUCAAUAAUCUCC